UACAGAGGUCCCAAGCGUUGUUCGGAUUCACUGGGCGUAAAGGGUGCGCAGGUGGUUUGGCAAGUUUGACGUGAAAGCCCCGGGCUUAACCCGGGAAUGGCGUUGAAAACUGCUUGAACUGGAGGAUUGGAGGGGGGACUGGAAUUCUUGGUGUAGCAGUGAAAUGCGUAGAUAUCAAGAGGAACGCCAGUGGCGAAGGCGAGUCCCUGGACAAUACCUGACACUGAGGCACGAAAGCCAAGGGAGCAAACAGG
rnacentral:rRNA from 1 species